rnacentral:rRNA from 1 species
UAUCGUUUAUUUGAUAGUACCUUACUACAUGGAUAACCGUGGUAAUUCUAGAGCUAAUACAUGCUAAAAACCCCGACUUCGGAAGGGGUGUAUUUAUUAGAUAAAAAACCAAUGCCCUUCGGGGCUCCUUGGUGAAUCAUAAUAACUUAACGAAUCGCAUGGCCUUGCGCCGGCGAUGGUUCAUUCAAAUUUCUGCCCUAUCAACUUUCGAUGGUAGGAUAGUGGCCUACCAUGGUAUCAACGGGUAACGGGGAAUUAGGGUUCGACUCCGGAGAGGGAGCCUGAGAAACGGCUACCACA